ACUUCUCUCACAAUUUCAUCAUGCUUCAGAAGCAUAAUGAAAUCAAAAUGAGUCAUUGUUUGACUCUUCUUGAUUUCAUAAUGCAUUGAUGUGGAACUUUAUCUGGGAUCCAUUACUUGAACUACUGCUGGUGUCUUCAGUGAAUCAUGGAAAACUCUUCAGGUGAGAAAGAUUAAAGUUUAUGUGCGUAUAUAUUGUAGAAACCCAGGCACAAGUCGGUGGAUGGAGACGUUAGUAGGAGACUUAGAACAUUAGCAAUAACAUAAGAUAAUUGAAGUCACCAGCUUGGCCGAGUGGUUAUAAGUCGCCAGACUUAAGUUUUCGUCUCUUAAUAGAGACGUGAGUGCGAUUCUCACACCUGGUAGCUUUCUUGUCCUUAUCAAAUGUGGUAUUCAUUUAAUAGAGUUACCUUAAAUCAUAAGAUAAAUAGAAGUUUAUGAUUGAAAUAUGGAACGAGAAAGGUGAGGUUAGACCGUAAUCUCCGUAUUCCAUUUGUACACACUGAGCAAGAGAUGACAUGGUCAUGAGCGAGAUGUUACCUUUUUUCAAGUGCAUCUGUGUUUAACAUCUGCAGGAAUUUAAAAAAAAAUUGUCCAUAAACAGCUUAAUUAUGUGUUACACGUUAUUAAACGUCCGCUCGGGAUCGUAUCGACCCCUCUCAACAUGCGCAGCAUUUACCUCUUCAUGAUAAUUGGUUCUGUGUGGCCUGUUUCUAAAUGGAUGGUGCGAAGAGGAAGUUGGCGAAAUCGAUCAGAUAAUCAACGCUUAUCGCGUUCCCAAUAAUAGAAUUUAUCCCCACCUGGCAUAUGCUUUUUUUCUUAAUUCAUUUUGCUGUAAUGAUCACGCCAUAUUUGAAAACAUUAGGUCAACUUUACCCAAAGAAACCGAUUACGACAAGAAACAUUUAUGUGCUCUGGUACUUUAGUUGGGCCAAGAAAAGUUUUAACAGCCGCUUCGUACUUUGAACGGUUGAUGCUCGUUUCUUUUAGGUUUGAUUCGAAUACAUUUCAGCCAACCUUUUUCACACCUGUCACACGGAUGAACAAAGAAAUUCUAGGCGGUCCGUACACAAUAUGGCGGAACGUUAUCCGUGUCGUUAAGCAUAUCCGCAGUACAAUCCAGCAAACGCCGGUAAUCACGACAAUAUUGCCGUUGUUACACUGGACUUAGAAGUGCGCGCCAGCUCUGUCACUCCCGUCCAGUUGGGGUACACAUUAUUCCCGAGAAUCGGAAUCUCCUCAUAAUUUGGCUCAAGCGGUUAAACAAAGCAUUGAGUUUGAGACAACAGUUUGCCAUCUUCGAAGACAAGCACCUUUGAUUUGUCAUUUAGGGUGCAUUUUAUCGUCAACUUUAUGGCAACAGGUUACGCCACGAUAAAAAAAAAAAUUUUUUUUUCAUCCAAUUUUUUUUUUUUUUUUGUAAUCGCGUCCAUCUAGCGCUCGAUUUUUAACUCGGUUUCCUAAGUCAGAGAAAAUAUUUUAACGGAGUGACCACGUUGCUCAGUCUCUCCAACUGCAUUCAACUGUUCAUAUUGCUUAGUCUAUCAUAUUGCAAGCCUAUUAAUUGCCUUUAAUUCAGGUAAUUCAUCCAUAUUGUCUGGGAAGGCAAUAGUUGGUAAGUCAUUAACCAUUACAAAAUGGAAAAAUUUUCUUUUUGUAUUAAGCAAUAUGGCAUUGCAGUCCAAGUGUCCAGAUUUGGUGAUUCUAUUCAACAGCAUUCCAUUGUCCACCUUGCUGAGCUUAUCAAGUACAAUCCUGCUUAUUGCCUUGGCAUCAGUUAUUUCAUACACAUUGUCUGAAGGCAGUAGUUGGUUAGUCAUUGGCCAUUACGUUGAACUUGAAAUGGUUCAUUUACUGGAAUUGUCGAGUGCCAUGUACACAUUUUUUUAAAACAGAACUUAGUCUUCACUUAAGUGAGCACGGAAUGGCACAAUGAAUUGGUCGGUCAAAAUUAUCAUGUAGUACACUAAUUAAAUCAUAACGUUUCAAGCUGACAUCCAAUUCUCACUUUGUAGGUAUUCAAAUCACCAUCUGCUACUGAUUUAAAUUUGAAUUCCAUCAGUGUUAGGGAAUUAGAUCAGGAUUUAUCGAUAUUUAUUGCUGACAAUCAUAUACACACAAAACGGUUGAAUACGUCAAGGUUGACAUGCCUCCCAUAUAGUACAUUUCUACCGUUGGAUGUCCGAAUCAUGGCAGAACAUUCGUUAGAUAUCUAUGUUCUCAAUGGGUAGUUCCAGGGAUGUCCGUCGGCUAGUCGCCUUGGAAGUGCAAUGGAUGUGCGAAAAUUAUAUUAUACGG